GCAGAAAGUGAUGAAUCAGAGGCUGAAGUGAAGUUACAAAGUUAUACUCCUAUGCAAAGGAAGACUUGGCCUGUGACCAGCCUGAUUGACUGCAGGAGGGGACCAGUCAGAGUAUCUUACAGAGCAAGACUGCAGAUCAAGAUUUUCCAACGUGGUGCUGACUUUUUUGAGAACAGUUAAUGAGAACUAGGAAAGUCCUUGCAGACCAUCCAGUCCAGCGGCUUUCAAAUGGAAAAUGUGAAAGGACAACAGAAUCACAUGGAUUCUUUUCUGAACUGCUUUUUUCCAGUGAUGCCAUAUUCUAUAAGACUUCAUGUGAAGGUGUGGAGGACGGGUAAUGUCUGAAUCUUCCAGGCAAUGAGAGGGAUGGUGUGAGUCUGGAAAUUCUUUGUGAUGGUCUGAGACUCCCCUUACUCCAGUUAAGAACACUGACUUAAUUCGAUCUGGUUUUUUUUAACAAAUGGCCUCUGAGACGUAGAGCAGUGAGGAUAAGGA
rnacentral:lncRNA from 1 species